AGGGAUACUUAUCGAUGUUAUACAACUCCCAAACCCUAUGUGAACUUACCACUUGUUGCUUCGGCGCGCGCUUCGGCGCCGCCGAGGACACUUAAACUCUUUGUUUUUAUAAGCAUUUCUGAGUGGCCGAAAGGCAAAAUACAAAUGAAUCAAAACUUUCAACAACGGAUCUCUUGGUUCUGGCAUCGAUGAAGAACGCAGCGAAAUGCGAUAAGUAAUGUGAAUUGCAGAAUUCAGUGAAUCAUCGAAUCUUUGAACGCACAUUGCGCCCGCCAGCAUUCUGGCGGGCAUGCCUGUUCGAGCGUCAUUUCAACCCUCGAGCCCGACUCUUCGGAGGACGGCUCGGCGUUGGGGGACGGCAGACUCCCCCCGGCAUCUCGCCGGGGACGCCGCCCCCGAAAUUUAGUGGCGGCCCUCCGAGGCGACCUCUGCGUAGUAACUUGUUCUCGCACCGGAAAGCUCAGAGCGGCCACGCCGUAAAACCCCAACUUUUUUUAGGUUGACCUCGAAUCAGGUAGGACUACCCGCUGAACUUAAGCAUAUC
rnacentral:rRNA from 1 species